rnacentral:lncRNA from 1 species
GGGGAGUAGACAGAAGAGGAGUUUAAAUGGGGCUAUCCAGUGUGUUUGUCUGGUUUAACUGUGUGUCUGGUCAUUAUAGACUGUUUUCUUACUUCUUUUCUUAACUCUCUGUCUGUGACCUCAAUCUCUAUCCAGUACAGGAGCUCAGCAUCAGCUCCAAGGGAAAUAAGCAUGAGAGGACUGGGUGCCAGCUGCUGGAGACAGUGGGGCCUCAGCAUCAGCUCCUAGAGUGGGUGGAGGUCUUCAGCCCCUGGGGCAGGAGUAUGUCCCCGAAACAACUGCUGGCAGAUGGGGUGAGUGAGUUGGUAUGUGCAGAAAGUAUGAGUUUUCUGAAAGCUAUGCCCAAAGGAGGCCUUUACAUGAUUCAUCAAGAUGCCCACAAGGACAUGAAUCUUAUCACUGGGAAGGAAGUUUCCAUGAAUUAUGUUGAGCUGUUCAGGUAAAUGAAUUUACUACGUGACAUUUCCGACUCAUAAAAGUUGAAGUAUUUCAUUACAUUAAACAGCUACAAUUGAUUGCUCAUGAACAAGAACCAGGCCAGCAGUUAUUCACAUUAACUGAACAUUAUUCUGAACAGCAAAUACAUUUGAACAAUUUUUUCUUGAGAAAUCAUGUAUGUGAGAACAGCUGAAGUUUCUCUCAGAAAAAUCUUUCAGUAUUACUUCUCAAAGUUGUACACUGUAAUUUCAUUAUUGUUUCUCAUUGCUGUACAAGAGUGCUAGGAUUAUUUUAUAUUGAUCUCAUAAAAGUCAGUAACAUUUCUCCACAAAUAGAUGGACCAAGCAUUAAGAGAAAAAAAUGAACAGUUACAGCAACACCCUGUAAAAGAACUAGAGUUUUCAGUUGAUUUUAUCAGUCAUCUGGAAAGAAAUUCAUUCCUCUGUAAUUUUUUUUAAUCACAGUUUAUCUUAGGGGACAGUCCAUUCAUACAAUGUGUUGUGCUUUAGCUAGCUAACUGCAUGAUCUAAUUCACAUUAUCUUCUUUUUUUCCUUUAUUUAUGUAUUUAUUUAUUUG